rnacentral:rRNA from 1 species
CCUCAUGGGGGUUAGAA